GGUCAUAUGACCCCUCCAAGCAUGGCACCAGCUGCGCGAGGAGCAGGCCUGAGGGGGGACAGGUUUUCAUCUUUGACUUUUUGCCUAAAUUCCAACAAAAGGCCUGGGGAGGUGUGUCCUUGGCCAGGCAUGUGCCCGUGUCUGAACCAAUCACAGAGACCAGGAGAAUGGAACAUUCUGAUUGGUCACACCUGGAUCAUGGGCCCACCCUGCAGCUGCUCAACCUGAACCAGGUUUGCCAUCUGCCAGCUGAGCAUCCUCGAGUAACCUCAGUGGACACCACAGGGAACAGAAAAAUCACCCAGUGGAGUCCUGCCUGAAUUCCUGACCCAUGGAGUCUGUGAAAUGUAAUAAAAUUGCCUUCGUUCCGUGCACUGA